GGGCCGGUAACUCAGUGGUAGAGUGUAGGAUUGCAGCCAUUCCAUAGCCGUUUAUCCCGAAGUCACCGGUUCGACUCCGGUUCGGCCCU